rnacentral:piRNA from 1 species
UCACAUGUGAUUCAACAUUGUCUUGAGG